GCAAGUCGAGCGGGGAAAGGUAGCUUGCUACCUAACCUAGCGGCGGACGGGUGAGUAAUGCUUAGGAAUCUGCCUAUUAGUGGGGGACAACGUUUCGAAAGGAACGCUAAUACCGCAUACGCCCUACGGGGGAAAGCAGGGGCUCUUCGGACCUUGCGCUAAUAGAUGAGCCUAAGUCAGAUUAGCUAGUUGGUGGGGUAAAGGCCUACCAAGGCGACGAUCUGUAGCGGGUCUGAGAGGAUGAUCCGCCACACUGGGACUGAGACACGGCCCAGACUCCUACGGGAGGCAGCAGUGGGGAAUAUUGGACAAUGGGGGGAACCCUGAUCCAGCCAUGCCGCGUGUGUGAAGAAGGCCUUUUGGUUGUAAAGCACUUUAAGCGAGGAGGAGGCUCCUAUAGAUAAUACCUAUAGUGAGUGGACGUUACUCGCAGAAUAAGCACCGGCUAACUCUGUGCCAGCAGCCGCGGUAAUACAGAGGGUGCGAGCGUUAAUCGGAUUUACUGGGCGUAAAGCGUACGUAGGCGGCUUUUUAAGUCGGAUGUGAAAUCCCUGAGCUUAACUUAGGAAUUGCAUUCGAUACUGGGAAGCUAGAGUAUGGGAGAGGAUGGUAGAAUUCCAGGUGUAGCGGUGAAAUGCGUAGAGAUCUGGAGGAAUACCGAUGGCGAAGGCAGCCAUCUGGCCUAAUACUGACGCUGAGGUACGAAAGCAUGGGGAGCAAACAGGAUUAGAUACCCUGGUAGUCCAUGCCGUAAACGAUGUCUACUAGCCGUUGGGGCCUUUGAGGCUUUAGUGGCGCAGCUAACGCGAUAAGUAGACCGCCUGGGGAGUACGGUCGCAAGACUAAAACUCAAAUGAAUUGACGGGGGCCCGCACAAGCGGUGGAGCAUGUGGUUUAAUUCGAUGCAACGCGAAGAACCUUACCUGGUCUUGACAUAGUAAGAACUUUCCAGAGAUGGAUUGGUGCCUUCGGGAACUUA
rnacentral:rRNA from 1 species